rnacentral:rRNA from 1 species
GACGAACGCUGGCGGCGUGCUUAACACAUGCAAGUCGAACGGAAAGGCCCCUUUGGGGGUACUCGAGUGGCGAACGGGUGAGUAACACGUGAGUAACCUGCCCUUGACUUCGGGAUAACUUCAGGAAACUGGGGCUAAUACCGGAUAGGAAUCCUUGCUGCAUGGUGGGGGUUGGAAAGCUUCGGCGGUUUUGGAUGGACUCGCGGCUUAUCAGCUUGUUGGUGGGUAGUGGCUUACCAAGGCUUUGACGGGUAGCCGGCCUGAGAGGGCGACCGGCCACAUUGGGACUGAGAUACGGCCCAGACUCCUACGGGAGGCAGCAGUGGGGAAUAUUGCACAAUGGGCGGAAGCCUGAUGCAGCAACGCCGCGUGCGGGAUGACGGCCUUCGGGUUGUAAACCGCUUUCAGCAGGGGCGAAGCUUGUGGUGACGGUACCUGCAGAAGAAGCACCGGCUAACUACGUG